AGAGUUUGAUCAUGGCUCAGGAUGAACGCUGGCGGCGUGCUUAACACAUGCAAGUCGAACGUUAGAGUGUAGCAAUAUGCUCAAAAGUGGCGAACGGGUGAGUAACACGUAGGUAACCUGCCGCGCAGAGGGGGAUAACGACUGGAAACGGUCGCUAACACCGCAUGGUACUAACUUGACGGGAGUCUGGUUGGUUAAAACCUUGGUGCUGCGCGAGGGGCCUGCGUCCGAUUAGUUAGUUGGUGAGGUAACGGCUCACCAAGACGAUGAUCGGUAGCUGGUCUGAGAGGAUGAUCAGUCACACGGGAACUGAGACACGGUCCCGACUCCUACGGGGGGCAGCAGUGAGGAAUAUUGCACAAUGGACGCAAGUCUGAUGCAGCAACGCCGCGUGGAGGAUGAAGGUCUUUGGAUCGUAAACUCCUUUUCUCAGGGAAGAGAAUGGACGGUACCUGAGGAAUAAGUCACGGCUACUACGUGCCAGCAGCCGCGGUA
rnacentral:rRNA from 1 species